rnacentral:lncRNA from 1 species
CGUACUUGGAGAUGUCAAAGCUGCUGGUCUUGAAGAGGGUAAAGUAGAAAGAUGCAAUGUGUUUGAAAUUGUAACUGAAGGUGAUUCUGUUUCUGGAUUGGGGGAGGAAAAUCUCUUGAGGGAGCCAAAAGCAACACCUGAAUCUGCUGUCAAUGUCGAAUCCUGUUUUACCUCAGAGAAUGAUAUUAAUGUGUGUGAGGGAAAGUUGCCACAACUUGCUAGUAUUCCCUCUGAACAAGCUGAUCAAAGGAACAACGUACUUGGAGAUGUCAAAGCUGCUGGUCUUGAAGAGGGUAAAAUAGAAAGAUGCAAUGUGUCUGAAAUUGUAACUGAAGGUGAUUCUGUAUCUGGAUUGGGGGAGGAAAAUCUCUUGAGGGGGCCAAAAACAACACCUGAAUCUGCUGUCAAUGUCGAAUCCUGUUUUAUCUCAGAGAAUGAUAUUAAUGUGUGUGAGGGCAAGUUGCCACAACAUGAACACACAGAUAUAGGUGGAGUUUUGGAUCCUCAGGAAAGCAGAAAGGAACCUGAAAGCAAUG